rnacentral:lncRNA from 1 species
UUUCACUUGGGAGUCCCUUAAAUCCAAUUUACGUUUAUCUACUCUCUCAUUGUUCGGGUAUAAAACAUUUGGCAAACAUGAACUGAAAAUAGGGAACAGAAGAAGAGGCAUGUCAGCCAUUGUGGAUUAUUUUAGUCUCCCCCCUCUGAAUAAACGAUGGAGUAACUAAGGUCAACUUUCUGAAUGAAAACCUUUUUCAAGGACCAAAACUGUCUGAUUUCGAUCGUCCCAAAGAAACUUUCCAACAAAAUCGAACAAAAUUAAAAAUAAACACGAAACGAGAUAUCUAAAUGGCAGCAACGACACACCCAAAAAGAGACGAAAAACUGUAUGUAACUACAGCAAAAUGGAAUUGAAACCUAGCCAGUCAGAAAAGAGAGGAGGGCAAGUUCUUCCAUACCACAGAACGUCAACAGCUGCACGAAAGCAAAAAGCAGCUCACGGAAAUAAGAGAUUGUCAAAAAAAGAAGCUGAAACGAAUAUCCAGAAAUAUCGGGACAACAGCCAUUUGUAAACAGAAAAACGACCGUGGGCCAGUGGCCAGAACAUAGAAGAAAAAAGGAAGGAAAGUCAGCAUUUGGUUUAUAAUAUCGUAAGGAUCUUCUUAGAUCAAUAUGCGUAAAAGGGCGUGCCCGGCUGGCCUUCUCUUCUCGCUCUGUCAAACCAAAUCAAUCGGACAAAAAGUACUCACCCAAACAUCGUGAUAAUAUUCUGUCAGUUGGCCAGAAUUUCCUUCUUGGUCAGAGAUGAAUAGAUUCAACUGAAAGGAGGAAAAAUCUUUCGGCGAAUGGAAUCAAGAUUUCUUAUUGACCAAGAGAUUCAGCAAAACUCCGCCUGUGUCAACCACUAGCUAUCUAUCUCGCUUCGUAUGUUCCACUUACAUGAAAAGAAAACGGUUACGAAGGGACCCGAUUCCACGAAUUCCGGCCACGUUCCGCCACUCAUGAAGGCUGAGUGGAGUUGAAUCCUCCUACAAAACAACAAACGGCUUCCCUUCUUAGUUGGCAGUUUGUUCGACAAACAAGAGCCGCUGUCUUGGUUCUCUUCCCUGUUCUGUGUGUGUCAACAGGAAUCUGAGUCCAGGCCGGAGGCACAGUGGCCAGGGAUUCUUAUCCGUUCGCCACACACAGUGGUCAUAAUCCAUGUAGCUAGUUGCUGUGCCUCGCGUUCAACUCGGAUUUCGGAAGUUGUAUUUAAAAAAGAGAGAGAUCUAAUCAGGCGAUCGAUAAUUCCCAACUUUCAUCAUCCGCUAAAGGCGGAAUUCCAUGAAACUGAUACCUCCCACAAAUGUUUGAAACAGAUUUGAUUCUCAACCUUGAGGCGACGGCGCUUUAUGGAUCCAAGGCUACAUCAGAAAGACCUCAUUAUGGAGUUUGCAUCAUACGCUCAUCUAAGGAAGACUCUGCCUCAUCAUCUCCGUGUGACCGAGAGAAUCGUCGACGCUGUGAAUGACAAUGAGAUCCGUAGUGGGACUACUAUUCUCAAGUACAUGUUGAAAAACAUUUUCAAGGAGAUUGCAGCUGAAUAUCAAGAUCUGCAACUCAAAUUGUCGUCAACUUGGAAGGUGAAAAGGUGUUGAGCGUAUCACUCCAUAUUUUAACGAGAUGAAAUUCCAAUGAUAUAUGAUGGUUGCCAAGCAAAUCAUAAACGACUACAACAUCGAUCGAUCUCUUUUUCAACGUCCUUGCUCUUCGUGGACAAUAAAAUGGGACGUCUGGAAAAUCGUCAUAUUUGUGGAGCUGGGGAUCGAAUCGAUCCAAGUGUCAAGUCAAUGCCUUCGUCAAAAACCUCAGAAAAACAAAGCCAAAAUAAAUGAAGGUUUCAGGCGAUUGUGUUCCUUAAGAAACACGCAGAACAAUAGACGAUAUAGCUUCCCAGUGGCUCAUCCGUCGACGAAAGGAUUGCCAAUCGCUGCAGAUGACUUUUCACACAAGAUUUUCUAUAGUUCUUUCAUAUACUGGACGAUUGCGAUUGAUUACAAUUUUUCAUCAAAACGGAAACAACUGAAGCGAAAAGAAGACACUCUCCACCGUCGCUAUGAGACUCGUUAAUAAACAGUGCGUGAAGCCAAAAAGUUGAGUGGUUUUAUCGAACGGAUGACGGGUUUUCGACUCGUUAUGAUAAUCAUAAAAGCGGAACCAAGAAGAAACUGACGAAACUGCUCUCUUCUAUAUUGUUUAUGUCACUCUCCGUCCCUCUGCCCCCCUUAUAAGAUGUCGCGAAGGACUCGGACGUCGUUUAUGUAAUAGGGAUACUCUUACCGCCAAAAAGAAGUCGUCGUUAGAAACGUAAUUCUAGCCAGCGGCGUGAAUUUCACUAGUGCGGUACGUACGGCUGUAUUCACGCACUGAUUUUGCGCAGAAUGGUCGCCCUCUCUAAACAAUUGAGAAACGCUAAGCUUCGGCUUUAUGUCUCAUUGUACAGUCAUGGACAAUAAGCGCAGGCCAAAAAAAAAAUACAUCUCUGCGAUGCGGUAGUGUCCUUUUCACGCUCCCUUUCGACUCUCUCUGUCCCCAGUUUCUUUCCCCUAUACGUACGCUGGCCGUUCAGCAGCAGUUGAGAGUCUCUUCCCCGAGCGCAAAGGAAACGAUCAAUACGAGGUGGUUGUCUCCCCAGUACAGAGAAAGAGAGAAAGCAAAUUAUUCUAUGCGUGCAUGAAAAAAGAAAAAAAAAGAGUCCAAAGUUAACUGAUGGAAAAUAAAGGGAAAAGUUUAAUAUUUUGUACGAUAUUAAGCUUUUUCUUUUCCAUAGUUUUCUGUUGUUGAAAAAGUCCCUUCUCUAAAUUGAUAAUAAUCCCUAGACGGCAAAGGUUGCAUUUUGUGUUUAAAGCUGUUGACAUUUAUGUCUCUUCAGCUUUGUUGUUGCUGAUUCUUUUACGUAUCCUGAAUGCGACUGCGUUGCAGUCUACAACGUAUUUUUUGAAAGGAUAAGAGUUGGCUAGCUCUAUCACGACUUCC